UCACGCCUUACGGUGGCAGUUUCAGUAGAGUUCCCAGCUUUACCUGAUGGCAACUAAUGAUGGAGGUUGCGCUCGUUGCGGGACUUAACCCAACACCUCACGGCACGAGCUGACGACAGCCAUGCAGCACCUUACUGGCGGUGUAUUGCUACAAAGUGAGCUUUCACCCACGGUCCACCAGCAUUCUAGCCCAGGUAAGGUUCCUCGCGUAUCAUCGAAUUAAACCGCAUGCUCCACCGCUUGUGCGGACCCCCGCCAAUUCCUUUGAGUUUCAACCUUGCGGUCGUACUUCCCAGGUGGAUUACUUAAUGCUUUCGCUCAGACACACACUGUGUAUCGCGUAUGUCGAGUAAUCAUCGUUUAGGGCGUGGACUAC
rnacentral:misc_RNA from 1 species